rnacentral:rRNA from 1 species
CUACGGGCAGCUGCAGUGAGGAAUAUUGCACAAUGGGGGGAACCCUGAUGCAGCAACGCCGCGUGGAGGACGACGCAUUUCGGUGUGUAAACUCCUUUUAUAUGUCAAGAAAAUGACGGUAGCAUAUGAAUAAGCACCGGCUAACUCCGUGCCAGCAGCCGCGGUAAUACGGAGGGUGCAAGCGUUACUCGGAAUCACUGGGCGUAAAGGACGCGUAGGCGGGUUGGAAAGUCAGGUGUGAAAUCCUACAGCUUAACUGUAGAACUGCACUUGAAACUUCUAAUCUAGAGUAUGGGAGGGGGAGAUGGAAUUAGUGGUGUAGGGGUAAAAUCCGUAGAUAUCACUAGGAAUACCUAAAGCGAAGGCGAUCUCCUGGAACAUUACUGACGCUAAGGCGUGAAAGCGUGGGGAGCAAACAGGAUUAGAUACCCCUGUAGUC